rnacentral:lncRNA from 1 species
GCAGCUCCUUGGAGAGCGGGGAUGACAUGAUCUUCCUGCGCACGUGUGAGGGGGCAUUGAAGUAACGUUUGCGGUUUUUACUGCGGUCCGAGAGACCCUCAACAGUUUCUUUUAAAGACUAACUUUCUUCAAGCCUCCUUGCUUUGUGCUAAUAACUCUUUGUUAAGCUCUAUCCUAUGUAACUGUUGGACAUCCUCACCAACAUAUUCCAGCUCACAGCCUAUGCCCCUUCCUUAUUUGGUGAUGUUAUUGCCUCCUGAGACUUUUCAUAAGCAACUUAUUUGUUCUUCCCUGCACUUACCUAUUUAGGAAAGUUUCAGGUUAUUAGCAAAUCGGGUAUCACUUUAAGAUUGUGAGGUCCCACUCCAGCCAAUGGAUGCAGGACAUAGCAGUAAGGACAACCCAAAUGCGUAAGGGAUAAAUACAUCUGCUUUUCCUUUGUUCAGGUGUGCUCUCACCAUUGUUCCAUCUGCGACUGAGCACCAUUUCUGCAAAAAUGGCCUCAGGGGUAAGGGACCGAGACCCAUCCGGUGUGACCAAUAAACCCGGACUCUCAGCAAUGUGGAAAGAAACUGGCCAACAACCUGGGGUAAAGGAUCCUCACAUACCGAGGUGACGACUCUGUGCACAGACCAACGAAGGAGAAGCCACGGGAGCCGGUGUUAUGUCGUACCAUACAUCCAGGAGUUCAUCAAAACAACUAAGCCAAGACAUGCUAAGAAAGUUUGAAGAGGAAAACUAUACAGUAAAAGAGGAGGGAAUUGUAGGAAGUAAAAAGUUUCUGCUUCAAAGUUCCCCUUCUUGUUAAAGAAUAAAUCAUAAGUCUUAGAAAUAAUAGAUUCUUUUAAAGACUAAUUUUCUUCAAGCCUCCUUGCUUUGUGCUAAUAGCUCUUUGUUAAGCCCUAUCCUAUGUAACUGUUGGACAUGCUCACAGACACAUUCCAGCUCACAGCCUAUGCCCCUUCCUUAAUUGGAAAUGUUAUUGCUUCCUGAAACCUUUUGUAAGCAACUUCUUUGUUCUUCCUUGCACUUACCUAUUUAGGAAAGUUUCAAAUCGGGUAUCAGUUUAAGAUAGUGAGGUCCCACUCCAGCCAAUGGAUGCAGGACACAGCAGUAAGGACAACCCAAAUGCGUAAGGGAUAAAUACAUCUGCUUUUCCUUUGUUCAGGUGUGCUCUCACCAUUGUUCCAUCUGCAGUUGAGCACCCUUUCUGCAGAAAGUAAAGAUGGCCUUGCUGAGAGAUCUUUUGUCUCUGUGCUGACUCUUCUUCGCAGCACCGAUUAUCUAUUUCUAACAAUUUUGGUAUUUCUAACAGGCCCACACACACUGUGUGGGCCAAGCUGCUUCACUCAGUCCACUGAUCAAAUGCUCAUCUCAUCCUCACAGACACACCCAGGAUACUGCUUGACCAAAUAUCUGGACAACCCAUGGCCCAGUCAAGUCGACAGACCAAAUGAACUGUCACAGACAGCUUCUGUCCUUGGAACGGGGUGGGAUUCCACGGACUCUCUCCCUUCACAGUGGAGAUGCUCAGUCAGCAAGCUGCCAGAAGUUCAGAGCUGGGGAAGAUAUAAAGAGGACUGGGCAUGGAAGCUGCAGGAACUAGUCAGGAACUGGGAGUACCUAGGAGUCAGCUCCUGAGUGUGCAGGAUCAUGGUGAAAUAGAAAGUUAGAGAAGGAAGAGUGUGUCAAUAUCAGAGCAUUGUCUUAUAGCACAGGACUUAACCCUCUCCUAAGGUUCCAGGGAGACAGUGCCAAAUCAUCACUUGAGUGGUGCUUAGAAGCUUCAGGGCAAAAGAGCCAACCCUAAGUACAUUUGUCUACUGGGGCUGCCAUCACAAAGCACCGCAGACAGGGUGGCUUAUACAACAGACUCAUUGUCUCACAAUCCUGGCGGCUGGAGUCCAAGAUCAAGGUUUUGCAAGGCUAGCUCCUCCUGAGGCCUCUCUUGGCUUGUAGAUGACCGGGGCCUUCUCUCUGUGUCCUCACAGGGUCUUCCCUCAGUGCGUGUCCGUGUCCUCACCUCCUCUUGUAAGACUCCAGUCCUAUGAGAUUAGGACCCACUGUCAUGAACUCAUUUACUGUUGAUUACCUUUGUUUUAUGUUUUUUGUUUUUUUGAGACAGGGUCAGUCUCUGUCACCCAGGCUGGAGUGCAGUGGUGCAAUCAUGGCUCACUGCAGCCUCAAACUCCUGGGCUCAAGGAAUCCUCCCACCUCAAUCUCCCAAGUAGCUGGGACUACAGAUGCAUACCACUGUGCCUGGGUGUAUUAGUCUGUUAUUGCACAGCUAUAAAGAAAUACCUGAGAGUGGGUAACUUAUAAAGAAAGGAGGUUUAAUUGGCUCACGGUUCAUAGCUGCUUCUGGGGAGGCCUCAGGAAAGUUUCAGUCAUGGUGGAAGGUGAAGGGGAAGCAGACACGUCUUACACGGCCAGACAGUUCCUCCUACACUGGCUGACACUCUCUCCUGCCACCUUGUGAAGAAGGUGCCUGCUUCCUUUUCUGCCAUGACUGUAAGUUUCCUGAGGCCUCCCCAGCCAUGUGGGACUGUGAGUCAAUUAAACCUCCUUUGUUUAUAAAUUGCCCAGUCUCCGGUAGUAUCUUUAUAACAGUGUGAGGAUGAGCUAAUACACACAGGAAGCAGCAAUGCCAUCAAAGAGCCAGGGGCCUUGACUGGCAGAACUAGUGAGACCAUCACCAAAACAUGGCAUUCCUUGGGCAAGGCAGGUGCGCAGCCAGCAAGGUAUUGCUUAAUCUACAUGAUCAAAAGACAUCAGGAUGGUUGUUCAGGAGGCUGAGAACAGCCAUCCUAUUAUGGCUGAGUUGUGUCCCCUCAAAAUUUAUAUACUGAAGUCUUAACCCCCCAGGACCUCAGUGUGUAAGUAUUUGGAGAAAGGGCCUUUAAAGAUGUAGUUAAAUUAAAAUGAAGACAUUAGGGUGGGCCCUAAUCCAAUCUGACUGGUGUCCUUGUAAGAAGAGGAGAUGAGGACACAUGCAGAGGCAUGACCACAUGAGGACACAGGGAGAAGGUGGCCAUCUGCAAAUCAAGGAGUGAGGCCUCGGGAGGAACCAGCACUACCAACACCUUGAUCUCGGACUUCCAGUCUCCAGAACCAUGAGAUGAUGAAAGUCUGUGUUUAAGCUGCCCAGUCUGUGAUAUUGUUUUGCAACCCUAAUAGAUGAAUACAUACCCCAAUGAAAAAGCAUGAUCUCUUGCCCAGUUUCUGCACCUGAGACAGUUUUCAAACCCAAACCCCACUGAUUGAAGGAGGGAUUAGGUCCCAGGAGGACGGACCCUGCAGUACCAUAGCAGGCUCCCCCAGUCCUUCCCCACCCCACCACUAAAGGUGUAUUUCAGUAACUGUGCACUAGGAAAAGGGCAAUGCCCAGGGCUGGGGGACUCCGGGACCAAGUUGACACUGAGAGCUGGAGUCAAGGUACCAUCAUGGGCCCACUAGAGUAGGGCGUAUGGAGGCCAGCAAAGUGCAAUCCUGGUCCACCUCUAGCUCACACUGAGUCAUCCCUUUGCAUUCCCAGAAUGCUGCAUAUUCCCCCAGACCCUAAAAGUACACUCAGACAAUCUUGGUAGUUGGCAGAAUCCUCACGUAGGCUCAUUGUCCUGUAGGGUAAAAACUAUCAUAGUGUUACCAAGUAGAAACUUCUGAAACUGCCCACCACCUUAGCCAAGGCAAUACACCAAAAAGAAAAUCUCAUUGGUGGGGAAUGGCAGAGAUGUGGGCCCCUUUGGAAGACUUGAAGGUUGCAGGUGAGGCGAUUCCCAUCAUCUCCCCCAUUUUCCAGAGAAUGCUAACAGACUACUGUCAACUUGUGAUGGGAAAUUUUAUGCGUCCACUUCACUGGGCCAUGGUGCCCAGAUGUUUGGUUAAACAUUAUUCUGGGUGUGUCUGCAAGGUGUUUCUGGAUAUGCUUAGCAUUUGAAUCUGUGGACUGAGAAAAGCAGGUCACUCUCUCUGGUAAAGGUGGGCCUCAUCCAAUCAGUUGAAGGUCUGACUAAAACAAAAAGAUUAAGCAAGAGAAAAUUCGCUCUCCCUGCCUGUCUUAGUCUGUUUAUGUUGCUAUAAAGGAAUAUUGGAGCCUGGGUAAUUGAUAAAGAAAAGAGGUUUAUUUGGCUCAUGGUUCUGCAGGCUGUACAAGAAACAUGACAUCUGCAUCUGCUGCUGGUGAGGGCCUCAGGCUGCUUCCACUCCUGACAGAAGAUGAAGGGGAGCCAGUGUGUGCAGAGGUCACAUGAUUUAUUAUGUCACAGUACGGGAGGCUGGAAAAAGUGCAAGAUCAGGACACUGGCUGUUUUGGUGUCUGGUGAGGGUCCCAGUCUCUUCUUCAAGAUGAAGACUUGUUGCUGCCUCUCCUGAAGGGGACAAAUGCUGUGUCACCACACUGUGGAUGGUGGAAGAGCAAUACAAGCUGGGACACCCAUCUUCUCUUGCCUUUGGAUAUCAGAACUCCAGAUUCUUCAGCCUUCGCACUCUGAGACUUGUACCAGUGGCCUCCGGGUCUCAGGCCUUCAGCUGCAGACUGAGAGUUACCCAACUGGCUUUCCUGAUUGACGCUUAGACUGUACCACAUAAAUGGCUUCCCUGGUCCCCAGCUUGCAGAUGGCCUAUUGUGGGAAUUUUCAGCCUCUGUAAUCAUUGUAAUCAUAUGAGCCCAUUCCCAUAAUAAAUCCCUUCUCAUGUAUCUAUGUAUCUAUACCUGUAUCAAUCCUAUUUCUUUCUUUUUUUUUUUUUUGAGACAGAGUCUUGCUCUGUCACCCAGGCUGGAGUGCAGUGGCGUGUUCUCAGCUCAAUGCAACCUCCGCCUCCCAGGUUCAGGCGAUUCUCCUGCCUCAGCCUCCCGAGUAGCUGGGACUACAGGCACCCGCCACCACGCCCAGCUAAUUUUUGUAUUUUUAGUAGAGACGGGGUUUCAUCAUGUUGGCCAGGAUAGUCUCCAUCUCUUGGCCUCGUGAUUCACCCGCCUCGGCCUCCCAGAGUGCUGGGAUUACAGGCGUAAGCCAGCACACCUGGCCUCGAUGCUAUUUCUAUCCUAUCGGUUCUGUUUACCUGAAGAACCCUAACAUAGGUUUUGGUAUCAGGAUGAUUCUAGAGAAACAGAAUCAUAAGAAUGAGUUUUCUGAAUGUGUAUUGUGUUUUUCGGAAUUGGUUUUCUAAUAUGACUUGACUUAAAAGUGAGAAGAACUCUACUUCCAACAGUACACAGGACACUGAUGGUCCAUGGUGUGAAUAGUUUAUGAAAAUAUGCAAAUUUCUGCAUUGUAUACUCCUAGUAAACCACUUACAAGAGGCAAGGAGCUUAGUGACUCUGUAUAUGAUAUUUUCGAACAUUUGUGGAAAACCAGGGAAUAUAGUGACGUGGGCUGGUUACCAGUUGGUUGCUGGACAAAGUGAUGAAAUCACAGGAUGUGCUCAGUGAUUCAAAUUCCCAGUUCCAGCUCUGUAUAAAUAACCUGUGAGUGGCUGAGUGAACCCUGAAGGAGAACCUCCUUUCCUGUAGCCCUGGGGCCAAGACUGCUGAAAAGCAACCACAAGUCCUCGUCCUGAAACUGGAUGAAUUACAACGCAAGUUGAACUCUCAGCCUUGCGGGGUGUCCACUGUUCCAGUGAGGGCAUUGGCUGGGAAACAGAGGAUCCU